ensembl:lncRNA
CCAAACAGUCCUAAGAUCAUCAUUCUAUCUGUUCAGAAGGGAUUUCGGAUGUUUAGUGCCCUCUGCUGCCUGUGAGGAUAAUUGCAAUUGCGAUAAAAACAUGGACAAACCUUCCCUUCCCCUACUACAUUAUUCUUUGUGAGGGUUUUUAUUUAUUUAUUGGCUGUUGCUGUUGCUCUUAGCCUGUUUUUGUUUUGUUUUGUUUGGGUUCUGUUUUAGGGAAAAAUAUGUUGGAAAACGGGCGGGGCUUUGCUUCAGCUGGAGGUGGUGCUAACUUUCAGACCUGAACAUGAAAAGAAGCCUGAAACCAAGAAAUGAUCCAGAUCUGAAAUUAUGAGUACAAGAGAUCUAAAAAAAAAAACAACAAACAAAAAAAACCCACCUUUGAUGCAGAUUCUGCAUUUUCAUCUGUUUAUUUUUAGACCAGAAAAAGUCUGAAGUCAAAGAAAUCUGCUCCAGCUACAGAAAUAACUUUCCAGAAGCAUUUUGGUGAAAGGUUGAGUGCAGUGUUUACUAUGAAAACCCGGCACAACGGAGCAACUUUGAAGAAGCAGAAGUAUGUGAGCAGGAAAGCCUGGAGGCCCAUCAAGGCUUAUACCAACUAUAUUUACAAACUUAAGAAGGCGAGCCCGGCUGUGAUCGACACUGUUGCGGUACCCGGAUGGCUGCGGGCGGAGCUGUGCGCGAGCGUCGGUACGGAAGCCGCGCGCCUCGCCAAGUUCAACCGGCGCGGCACGAUCACGCAGCGCGAGGUGUGCGCUGCUGUGCGCGCGAUGAGGAAGGUCACGCGGAGGACAACAGCGCACGCGGAGUGACCGUUAAUGGAACUUUUUAAAAAACGUAAUCUUUAAGUGUUUGUUUUAAACCUGUAAAGUCCUGUUUGUGGUUUAAAUAAAGA